CCUACGUGUGGCAGCAGUGAGGAAUAUUGGGCAAUGGGGGCAAGCCUGACCCAGCCAUGCCGCGUGCGUGAAGAAGGUCUUCGGAUUGUUACGCUCUUUUGGACGUGUCGAUGAUGAAGGUAGCGUAUACAGAAGCACCGGCACACUUCGUGCAAGCAGCCGCGGUAAUACGAAGGGAGCGAGCGUUGUUCGGAAUUACUGGGCGUAAAGGGAGUGUAGGCGGAUAUGUAAGAUAGCGGUGAAAUGCCUGGGCUCAACCCCGGAACUGCCAUUAUGACUAUGUAUCUAGAGUAAUGGAGAGGAUAGCGGAAUACCCAGUGUAGAGGUGAAAUGCUUAGAUAUUGGGUAGAACACCGGUGGCGAAGGCGGCUAUCUGGCCAUUUACUGACGCUGAGGCUCGAAAGCAUGGGGAUCAAACAGGAUUAGAUACCCGAGUAGUC
rnacentral:rRNA from 1 species